rnacentral:rRNA from 1 species
UACGUAGGUGGCAAGCGUUGUCCGGAUUUACUGGGCGUAAAGAGCGCGCAGGCGGUCGUUCAAGUCGCGUGUGAAAGCCCCCGGCUCAACUGGGGAGGGUCACGCGAUACUGAUCGACUGGAAGGCAGGAGAGGGAAGUGGAAUUCCCGGUGUAGUGGUGAAAUGCGUAGAUAUCGGGAGGAACACCAGUGGCGAAGGCGACUUCCUGGCCUGUUCUUGACGCUGAGGCGCGAAAGCUAGGGGAGCAAACGGG